AAAAAAAAAUGCUAUGUUGAUGGCUUUUAUCGCACGAAAUGCUGAUGAAAGUUGUGUCUAUCAAGUAGUUAUCAAACAUUGGCUAAAUUAGAUUGGUUAGGAAGGUUUCAUCUAAUGUAACUAACUUCAAAUUACACGGUGGACACAAGAUCUCCCUUGGUGGUUAAAUAGUAAAGAAAUGCAUGAUGAAAGCCUCACUAGCAGCACAAAAUUGAAUAACAUGUGAAUGAAAGAACUCAGAAACAAAAAAUAACAGCAUUGCUUGAUUGUAAAAAAAUUUCCAAAACCAACGAAGAAUACAGAUAACUUCUCAUAACACGUGAAGUACUCCGAAUUAACACAUGUCCUAUCUACUAAACUUGCCAAUUUAAAUAACAAAACAAACCAAAAAAGGAGAUCAACGCUUCCCACCACCACCGCCGAGCUUUGGACCCUUGGAUGCAGGCCCCUUGGCAACGUUGCCCUUACCUGGAGCCUUCUGUGACUUGGCCAACACUUCUGCCUUCUUGGCCUUCUUCUCGUCCUUAGUUUUCUUAAUCCUUUCCUUAAUUUCAC